rnacentral:rRNA from 1 species
AGAGUUUGAUCAUGGCUCAGAAUCAACGCUGGCGGCGUGCCUCAGACAUGCAAGUCGAACGCGAAAGUUCCCUUCGGGGAGCAAGUAGAGUGGCGCACGGGUGAGUAACACGUAGGUAAUCUACCUUUGGAUGGGGAAUAACAACCGGAAACGGUUGCUAAUACCGCAUAAUGCAGCGGCACCUAAUGGUGACAGUUGUUAAAGCGGGGGAUCGUAAGACCUCGCGUCUAAAGAGGAGCCUGCGGCGGAUUAGCUAGUUGGUAAGGUAACGGCUUACCAAGGCGAUGAUCCGUAGCCGGCCUGAGAGGGCGGUCGGCCACACUGACACUGACAUACGGGUCAGACUCCUACGGGAGGCAGCAGUCGGGAAUUUUGGGCAAUGGGCGAAAGCCUGACCCAGCAACGCCGCGUGAAGGAUGAAAUCCCUCGGGAUGUAAACUUCGCAAGAACAGGAAGAAUAAGUAAGAGUUAAUAUCUCUUACGAUGACGGUACUGUUUGUAAGCUCCGGCUAACUCCGUGCCAGCAGCCGCGGUAAUACGGGGGGAGCAAGCGCUGUUCGGAUUUACUGGGCGUAAAGGGCGCGUAGGCGGCCACCGCAAGUCAGUUGUGAAAGCUCUGGGCUUAACCCAGAAAGGUCAACUGAUACUGCGGGGCUAGAGUGCAGAAGGGGCAACUGGAAUUCUCGGUGUAGCGGUGAAAUGCGUAGAUAUCGAGAGGAACACCUGCGGCGAAGGCGGGUUGCUGGGCUGACACUGACGCUGAGGCGCGAAAGCUAGGGGAGCGAACGGGAUUAGAUACCCCGGUAGUCCUAGCCUUAAACGAUGAAUGCUUGGUGUCUGGGGUUUUAUAGUCCCCGGGUGCCGUCGCUAACGCUUUAAGCAUUCCGCCUGGGGAGUACGGUCGCAAGACUGA